AUCCUUCUUAACCUAGAUCUCUCUUUCGCACUUCCGAUUCUCUACACUUCUACCAUACUACCGGCUGUCCAAUCACCAACACCACCCUAUCUUGUCCCAAUUAACUUUAUUCCGCCGCCAAAAUGUCGAAUUCCAACCACAUCUUAUUCUCUAUAUUCAGCUUCAGCCUUCGUAGUCUUGGCAUUGGCAGUUUGAAUUGAAGAAGUUUCCGGAAUGCAGUUUAGAGUAGAGUUAAGUUCAUUAUGUUUCGUUUUCUUUGUAGAACAACAAGAAAGGUAAUUGCUGAUAGGGAUUUAGUUCUGAAUCUCACAACUACUCAACUGGGCUUUUUCUCAAAGCAAGAACAGGAGUUUAUCAAGUAUGAAACUGUCAAAGACUCUUAGGUUUCUUUCAUCAUCUUCGCUUGUAGAGAAGAGAUCGUUAAAAACCAAACAAAGUGAACAGGAGAGUCUUUCGCGGCUUCAUACUUGAUAAACUCAUGUGGGUUGUCUUUAAAAUCUGCUGUUUCUGCUUCUAAGUUGAUUCAAUUGAAGAACACUGAAAGAGCGGACUCAGUCCUUAGGGUUCUAAACCCAGAUCUCUAAAGUUGUGAGAGCACACCCACGAGUCAUUUCAAGUAUUCCUGAAAGACGCUUGUAUGCAACUAUCUGAGGAGAAUAUUACAAGAACUAUGGACUUCCUUGUGAACAAAAUGGGUUGCUUGUCUCAAAAUAUUUCCAAAUCGCAAACUGUUCUCUUCUUCAGCUUAGAGAGAGAGGAUUGCUCCGACGUGUUUUAUUUUUCAGGUUCUGCUUUCCGAAGGAUUGAUCAAAGAAAAUAUAUGUCCAUACAGUUUCUUAUGUCUUGGGCAGAGCAAAUUUAUUGAGAGGUAUGUAACCAAAUUUCAAUAAGAAGUUCCUCAGUUUUUAGAUGUAUAUCAGGGCAAAAUCGAUAUUCUGGACGCCUCCCCUGGAUUUCAGAGGAAUGUGAAAUGAAACAGGUUCAACUCUUUGAACUGUUUUCAAUAUAAAUAAUUUUUUUUUUUUUUUUGUGGUAGUCGCUAAUUUAAGCCAUUUUUGGUAUACCAAGUGUUGGAUCUGUAGUUCUUUUACGCUAGGAUGAAUGUUUUGAUAUAACAUUAAGCUAUGAAAUUGUUGUAAUGAAUCUCAACAUUCAUACUGUGUCCAAAUGAAAAUUAGAAAAGCCAAUGUUGGAAUGUUAAUGUUCUUGGAAUAUAACUAGAUUCUUCUGCUUCCUUUUCACUAUGAAUGGCAUCUGUUUCUGCUUCCAAAAUAUAUCACCAUACACUUGACUCAGUACAUGAAAUUUGUUUUAUAGUCUAAUAAUAUAAUAGGAUACUUUUGACAACCGAAGUGAAUCAAAAGAACAUAAUAGUAUCUCAAUACUGUGGUUCCGCGCAUUGCUAUUGAUUUACAAUGUGAUGUUAUCAAUUUUAUAUCCGAACUAAUGAAUUCGUUACUCUAGAGUGAUCCCAAUUGAUUAGAACACUUUGUUGGUCAUGUGUUUGUUUAUUCCUAUCUAAAGAAACAUUCUAAAAAUAUUCAGUAAGUUUUGCUGAUAAUGUGGAUUCUUAAGUUACAAAUUUAUUGACAUCCAUGUGGAUUAUAUUGUGGAGAAGCUAACUUAUUCAUGACUUUUAGAAAGUUUCUUUUAUUUGCUCUAGUAGUGAAUAAUAGUACUAGUUUAUGUAUUGCAAAAGAAGAACCCAGGAGCUAAUUUUGGUUUUAUUGCAGGAGAUGAUGCCAACAUGGAACUGUAACAAUUAAUUCAUAAGUCUUCAUAGAUUCAAUAGAAUGGAAAAGAAGCCUUGCGUGUAGUUGAGCAAACUAUUUUCACUAGCUCUAUUGCAGGGCAUAUUUGUUUACAAAAGAUGCAGAUUAGUAGGGGUGGACAAAAAAAACCGAAAACCAAACCGGAAAACCGGACCAAAACCGAACCAGAAAUCUGGUUUUUUUUUUUUUUCGAAACCGGUUCGGUUUCAGUUCAGGAAAAUGACUGAAACAGUUUUCCGGUUUGGUUAUCAGUUCAGUUCAUAAUAUAAACCGGUUAACUGAAACUGGUUUUAAAAACCAGUUUUAUAUAAAAUCGUAAAUGGCCAAAUCAGUAAAUCUAAAGUUCUGAACAGUAAAGCCUAAGUUUCUAUUUCUUAUAAUAUCCUAAAUCAGUGAAUCAAAAGACGAUUGACUCCCUUUCUCUCUACAUAACUGCACCGAGUCCCAACUACCAGCUGCCGCCCAUGGGUCCGUCGGAGUCUUCAGCUUCUGCAUAACUUACAACGUCUGCCGAUUGAGCAAGGGCUGUUGCAUAAAUUCCUCUGAGAGCUUUGGCUGUUCCAGCAUCCGUGCUUACUCUUGGUGGUGGUUAUCUUUUUGGCCUGCCAGUGGACUUUCUUGCUGAUUCUGUUGGUGCAGCUGCUGCUGCUGGGGCUACAUUUCUUCUUGGCCGAACUGUAACUUUAUUUAAAACCAAAGUCAUUAUCUUCUACUUCUGUAGCUGCUCCUUGUUAAGACUCUUUCUACCAGAAGUUGGUGUAAUUCGAAUGAAUUGAUACAUUUUCAAAGCUCUUUAAUUAAUCUAAAGCAAAGCUUA